UCUGGAGGAUAUAGUGUAUCUGAACAAGAUAAAAUUAAAUUCUCAAUGUGUAUCGUGCACUUUUUGCUUCCUUGGCUGAAACAAUUCCAUCAAGAGCAGAUGCAAGAGAAAAGUGCCGAGGCUGCAACUAAAGGUAUUGAUGCAGACAAACUGGAGGUCCCUCUAACCAUUUGUG